rnacentral:tRNA from 1 species
GCCUGGGUGGCUCAGUGGUUGAGUGUCUGCCUUUGACUCAGGUUGUGAUCCCAAGGUCCUGGGUUCGAGUCCUGAAUCAGGCU